rnacentral:tRNA from 1 species
ACCUUCGUGGUGUAGUGGUCAGCACGCUCGGCGCGUAUUCGAGAGGUCCGUGGUUCGAGUCCCGGCGAAGGCA